rnacentral:rRNA from 1 species
GGAAUCUUCCACAAUGGGCGCAAGCCUGAUGGAGCAACACCGCGUGAGUGAAGAAGGGUUUCGGCUCGUAAAGCUCUGUUGUUAAAGAAGAACACGUAUGAGAGUAACUGUUCAUACGUUUGACGGUAUUUAACCAGAAAGUCACGGCUAACUACGUGCCAG